UUAUUCAGUAGCUCGCAGCAACCAGAAUCAGACGGUACAAAAUGAACCACAAAAUAAUUUUGACUGCCCUCGCUCUUGUGACUCUUUCCACGUCGACUCUUUCCUAUUUUGACAAAUACAUAUCAGAAAAGUGCCACGCUCCUCCUUCUGUCACCGGGAAGUGCAUGGCCUCCAUUCCCGCCGUAACCUUCAAGGACCACCGAUGUAUUAGCUUUACCUAUGGGGGGUGUGGCGCAACUCCGAACUUUUUUAAUUCCAUUCAUGAAUGCGUAAAAGCUUGUCUCAAUCCUGAUGUUCCUUAUAAUAAACAAUAAAUUUGGUAUGUUCAAAACAA